rnacentral:rRNA from 1 species
GAUAGGUGAAGAACUCUGGAAUGAGUCUUUGCCAAAAAGAUGCUAGAGUUAUGCUCUUUGGCAUCGCCCAAGGAUGAGGCCGCGACCGAUCAGGUUGUUGGUGAGGUAAUGGCUCACCAAGCCUUUUACCGGUGCGGGCCGUGAGAGCGGGAGCCCGGAGAUGGGCACUGAGACAAGGGCCCAGGCCCUACGGGGCGCAGCAGUCGCGAAAACUUUGCAAUACACGAAAGUGUGACAGGGCUAUCCCGAGUGCCAUCCGCUGAGGAAGGCUUUUACCCAGUCUAGAACGCUGGGGGAAUAAGGAGAGGGCAAGUCUGGUGUCAGCCGCCGCGGUAAUACCAGCUCUCCGAGUGGUGUGGAUGUUUAUUGGGCCUAAAGCAUCCGUAGCUGGCUAAGUUAGUCCCUUGUUAAAUCCACCGAAUUAAUCGUUGGAUUGCGGGGGAUACUGCUUGGCUAGGGGACGAGAGAGGCAGACGGUAUUUCCGGGGUAGGGGUGAAAUCCUAUAAUCCCGGGAAGACCACCAGUGGCGAAGGCUGUCUGCUAGAACGCGCCCGACGGUGAGGGAUGAAAGCUGGGGGAGCGAACCGGAUUAGAUACCCGGGUAGUCCCAGCUGUAAACGAUGCAGGCUAGGUGUUUGGACGGCCACGUGCCGUUCUAGUGCCGCAGGGAAGCUGUUAAGCCUGCCGCCUGGGGAGUACGAUCGCAAGAUUGAAACUUAAAGGAAUUGGCGGGGGAGCACCACAAGGGGUGAAGCUUGCGGUUUAAUUGGAUUCAACGCCGGAAAUCGAAUUCCC